ensembl:misc_RNA Metazoa_SRP Metazoan signal recognition particle RNA
ACUGGGCGUGGUGGCGCAUGCCUGUAAUCCCAGCUACUCGGGAGUCUGAGGGAGGAGAAUUGCUUGAACCCAGGAGGCAGAGGUUGCAGUGAGCCAAGAUGGUGCCACUGCACCCCAGCCUGGGCAACAGAGCAAGACUCUAUCUCAA